UACGUAGGGUGCAAGCGUUGUCCGGAAUUAUUGGGCGUAAAGAGCUCGUAGGCGGUCUGUCGCGUCUGCUGUGAAAACUCAGGGCUUAACCCUGAGCUUGCAGUGGGUACGGGCAGACUAGAGUGCGGUAGGGGAGACUGGAAUUCCUGGUGUUGCGGUGAAAUGCGCAGAUAUCAGGAGGAACACCGGUGGCGAAGGCGGGUCUCUGGGCCGUAACUGACGCUGAGGAGCGAAAGCAUGGGGAGCGAACAGG
rnacentral:rRNA from 1 species